UACGUAGGGGGCAAGCGUUGUCCGGAAUCAUUGGGCGUAAAGAGCGCGUAGGCGGCCCUGUAAGUCCGCUGUGAAAGUCAAGGGCUCAACCCUUGAAUGCCGGUGGAUACUGCAGGGCUAGAGUCCGGAAGAGGCGAGUGGAAUUCCUGGUGUAGCGGUGAAAUGCGCAGAUAUCAGGAGGAACACCAAUGGCGAAAGCAGCUCUCUGGGACGGUACUGACGCUGAGACGCGAAAGCGUGGGGAGCGAACAGG
rnacentral:rRNA from 1 species